GAUGAACGCUGGCGGCGUGCCUAAUACAUGCAAGUCGAGCGAACAGACGAGGAGCUUGCUCCUCUGACGUUAGCGGCGGACGGGUGAGUAACACGUGGAUAACCUACCUAUAAGACUGGGAUAACUUCGGGAAACCGGAGCUAAUACCGGAUAAUAUAUUGCACCGCAUGGUUCAAUGGUGAAAGACGGUUUUGCUGUCACGUAUAGAUGGAUCCGCGCCGCAUUAGCUAGUUGGGAAGGUAACGGCUUACCAAGGCAACGAUGCGUAGCCGACCUGAGAGGGUGAUCGCCCACAUGGGAGCUUAGACACCGUCCAGGCUCCUGCGGGAGGCAGCAGUAGGCAAUCUUACGCAAUGGGCGAAAGUCUUACGGAGCAACGCCGCGUGAGAGAUGAAGGUCUUCGGUUCGUAAAACUCUGUUAUUAGGGAUGAACAAAUGUGUAAGUAACUAUGCACGUCUUGACGGUACCUAAUCAGAAAGCCCCGGCUAACUACGUG
rnacentral:rRNA from 1 species